GCUGUGAUCGUGUAGUGGUUAGUACUUCACGUAUGUGGCCGUGACAACCCAGGUUCGAAUCCUGGUCACAGCA
rnacentral:tRNA from 1 species